AUCCAUCUGACGAGCCCCAGAUAGGAAGAAACGCGCGUCCUGGAU
rfam:Schistosoma curassoni strain Dakar, Senegal genome assembly, scaffold: SCTD_scaffold0012535